rnacentral:rRNA from 1 species
CAAAAACAUAGCCUUAAGAAAUAAAUUUAAGGUAAGCCCUGCCCAGUGGAAAGUAUUCUUAACGGCCGCAGUACCUUGACUGUGCUAAGGUAGCGUAAUCAAUUGGCUUUUAAAUGGAGUCCAGAAUGAACGGGGCCAUGGGGAAAAACUGUCUUUUUUUUGGUUAGUUUAAUUUGCUUAAUAGGUGAAAAUACCUUUAUAAAGAAAAAAGACGAGAAGACCCUAAGAGCCUAACAAUAUAAUAAUAAUUUAUUUGUUUUUGUUGGGGCGACAAGAAGACACAUAUAAACUCUUCUUUUUUACUAAACGAUUAUAAUAUAUAAGAACAGGCUACCUUAGGGAUAACAGCAUAAUUAUACUUUAGUUUGUGACCUCGAUGUUGGACUAGGAACUUGAUGACUAGUCGUCAAUAAAGGAAAGUUCUGUUCGAACUACGUUUCCUACGUGAUCUG